AGUGAACGCUGGCGGUAGGCCUAACACAUGUAAGUCGAACGGCAGCACAGUAAGAGCUUGCUCUUACGGGUGGCGAGUGGCGGACGGGUGAGGAAUACAUCGGAAUCUACUUUUUCGUGGGGGAUAACGUAGGGAAACUUACGCUAAUACCGCAUACGACCUACGGGUGAAAUCAGGGGAUCUUCGGACCUUGCGCGAUUGAAUGAGCCGAUGUCGGAUUAGCUAGUUGGCGGGGUAAAGGCCCACCAAGGCGACGAUCCGUAGCUGGUCUGAGAGGAUGAUCAGCCACACUGGAACUGAGACACGGUCCAGACUCCUACGGGAGGCAGCAGUGGGGAAUAUUGGACAAUGGGCGAAAGCCUGAUCCAGCCAUACCGCGUGGGUGAAGAAGGCCUUCGGGUUGUAAAGCCCUUUUGUUGGGAAAGAAAAGCAGCAGGUUAAUACCCCGCUGUUCUGACGGUACCAAAAGAAUAAGCACCGGCUAACUUCGUG
rnacentral:rRNA from 1 species